GGGAGGCCGAGGCACUGCGGCGCGAGAACGCGCGGCUGCGCGAGGCCGUGCGCCGGCGGGUC
rnacentral:ribozyme from 1 species